AACAGGAUUAGAUACCCUGGUAGUCCACGCUGUAAACGAUGUCGAUUUGGAGGUUGUGCCCUUGAGGCGUGGCUUCCGGAGCUAACGCGUUAAAUCGACCGCCUGGGGAGUACGGCCGCAAGGUUAAAACUCAAAUGAAUUGACGGGGGCCCGCACAAGCGGUGGAGCAUGUGGUUUAAUUCGAUGCAACGCGAAGAACCUUACCUGGUCUUGACAUCCACAGAACUUAGCAGAGAUGCUUUGGUGCCUUCGGGAACUGUGAGACAGGUGCCGCAUGGCUGUCGUCAGCUCGUGUUGUGAAAUGUUGGGUUAAGUCCCGCAACGAGCGCAACCCUUAUCCUUUGUUGCCAGCGGUUAGGCCGGGAACUCAAAGGAGACUGCCAGUGAUAAACUGGAGGAAGGUGGGGAUGACGUCAAGUCAUCAUGGCCCUUACGACCAGGGCUACACACGUGCUACAAUGGCAUAUACAAAGAGAAGCGACCUCGCGAGAGCAAGCGGACCUCAUAAAGUAUGUCGUAGUCCGGAUUGGAGUCUGCAACUCGACUCCAUGAAGUCAGAAUCGCUAGUAAUCGUAGAUCAGAAUGCUACGGUGAAUACGUUCCCGGGCCUUGUACACACCGCCCGUCACACCAUGGGAGUGGGUUGCAAAAGAAGUAGGUAGCUUAACCUUCGGGAGGGCGCUUACCACUUUGUGAUUCAUGACUGGGGUGAAGUCGUAACAAGGUAACC
rnacentral:rRNA from 1 species